rnacentral:lncRNA from 1 species
CUGUAACAGGUGAAGCCCUUUGCAGUGUGCUGACUUGCCAGACCACUGUCUUCCGCCAAUCAAAUGGCUAACAGUGUUAUCAGACAAGCAUCUGAACCAUGUCCUAGAGAAUUUUCUGCUUAGCUGCCAUCUUUUCUCCUGCUGCUAUCACAGGGGAGAACGUGAUUGAAGAAAGCCAGAUUUAGCACAAUGGGUUUCAUAUAUGAAAGUGUUUUUUCGUUUAGUUUCUCAAACUAAAAAUCUGGUACAAUACAAGUGAAGUAAGUCAGGUUAGUAUCCACAGGUAACAAUUAAUAAACUAAUCUGAAUAUCAAAGGCCAAUCUUUCUUAAGCAUAGAAGUUGCCACUCAGUAUGAAAUUAUAGAUAUAAAAUCAGAUUGGAAUAAAUACCCUAAAAGAUAACAAAUAUGAAUUAAACUAAAAUAAGUUAUGUGGUUCAAAUAAUUAUAAAUAUAGCAUGAGUAAGUUUUAAAACACUGUAACUUGAUUGGUUAAAUUGUGCUUCCCUCCUCUAGUCCCUUCACCAUGUUAAGCCAGACAGUAUUAUAUGGCCCAUGCUAUGUCAAAUAUAAAAUAAGAUAAAACAAGUAAGACUUGGAUCAUAGCAGCUCAUAGGUUUUUAUUCAAUCUCUUCAUUAAUGACUUCAUUCAGUCAAGGAAGCUCUUCUUUCAGGUCUUUACAGGCUCUUCUUCUUGUCUAACAGCUGCUUUGCUCUCUACUACACAUUCUUAUCUACAUCAGACCUUAGGAUUGAGCUUUCCAAAAACCAGGGGCAAUUAACAUUUGUCCCUGCAUGCACAAACUGGGAUGCCUGGCCAACAUGGGGAAACAUGAACUAAGGUUCUGAAAAACCCACACCUUAAGCUGAACUUCCUACAAGGAUCAGUGGCUGAUGACAGUUUCAGUGACCAUGGAGAGGUUGAAAUGUUGCUGGGCUAGAGCUAAUACAAUUAUCUUGAGCUAUCUUUAGUUCCCUUAAUGGCCAUCCCUUGUCCACAUCAAAAACAAAACAAAGCAAAAACAAAACAAAACAAAACAAAAAAAACCAAAAAACAUGCCAAAUAACACAAAAACAAACAAAGAAAAAACUGAGGUUUGAUUUGUGUUGGCAACUAUUGAGCGUGGAGCCUGUCUUCUGUGUGGUUGGCAUAUUGUGUCUGUUGUAGGAUAUUUGGUCAUGCUAUGACCCUGAGAUUGUGUUAUUUACGGAACAAAACAACAACAACAAAAGCAAAACAAUAAAAUCCCUGCUUCCAGUUGCGGUGUGGCUCAACCCUUAGCUUACACCUUCAAUCCCUCUGGCAGGAACAUAGACACUUCCUUAGCACACACCUUUAAUCCCCAACAGUGAAGGUAAAGAUAGUUUGAUGAAGGAAGCACCCAUGUUUGAAAGUGAUGUGUAAUUGAGUGGCAGAAAAAGAGAAAGAUCUGACAGAAUAUGAUCUGCCCAUCUCUUACAAGAAGAGAGAGAGAAGCGAGGUAACAUAUGAGAAAGCAACAUAGAGAGAGAAGGAGGCAGGUCUACCAGCACAGUUGUACAAAGACAGCUUGCAAAGAGCUAGAACAGGUGAAGACAGAAUGAGCCAGAGAAUGAGGAGGAGCCAAAAGAUUUGACUGCAUUGCCAAAGUAAGUGUAAGCCAAGCAAAGCAAUUCAGGAAAGCCUGAGAGAGAAACUAGAUCAAAGCAGUCAGCUUAGAGAGGUUC